rnacentral:misc_RNA from 1 species
UUUCCGUUGGUGAACCAGCGGAAGGAUCAUUACAGAGAUCAUGCCCUCACGGGUAGACCUCCCACCCUGUGUUAUUUACGAUUGUUGCUUUGGCAGGCCGUGGUCACCCACUGUGGGCUAUGCCUGCAUGCGCCUGCCAGAGGACCAAACUCUGAAUAUUAGUGAUGUCUGAGUACUAUAUAAUAGUUAAAACUUUCAACAACGGAUCUCUUGGUUCUGGCAUCGAUGAAGAACGCAGC